CCCAGGAGUUUGACGGUUCUGACGGGGGAGCCGUCCUGACGAGGCCGUGUCCUGGGGAAAAAUCAAGAGCAGCGCCACCCCUGUCAAGAUUUUUGCUGAUGCAACCCUCGUGUUUCCCCUGCUCGUGUCGCAGACCUUUGCAAAGGACGUCAUUCCUAGCUCUAACGGACAUGAAUGUUGAGAAGGAGGAGAACACAACAGCCGACUUCCUUGAUCACCAUCAAUCUGCCUUAGAUACAAACCUGUUGUUCGAUUGAAACACCAUGUUAUGUGGCUCAAUUUGUGUUGACAGCUUUGAAUUUGUGUACUUAAACAUUUUAUUUGCCCUUUCGCAUUAGCUUUCUGGUCUCCUUAGGAGUUCAUCCAUGGGAUGAAGUCAGUUUGACCUAACUUUUUAAAAAGGUGUUUGUAGUAAUUAAUCAGUAGCAAUAAGAAGUAAGAUAUUUUUUUCUGCUGAUCUUUACGGGAAAAUUAAUCAUAAUCAUAUUGCAUUAAUUUCUGAUUCACUGCGCAACUCCGCGGUUUUGAUUCAUUAUUCUAUGAUCAUAGCAAAAUAGUGCCUUAUCACAAAACGACAAAAUUAAAAUUUAGCUCUCAAUGACAAUAUUCAUUUCACUGAUAUUUUAGGAGCAAUAUCAAUAAUAUAGAGAAAGGCAUCUAAGCCACAGUCCAUUUGGUUGUAUUAUUUAUUAUUACUCAUAGAUGCUUUGAUAUUCCUUAUUUCAAAGUUGAUGUGUUGAUUGUUGGCAGUCGAAUAAAGCUGUUCUAAACGUC